rnacentral:ncRNA from 2 species
AUAUUGGAAAAUGUUUACGCUUAUAAGUAGUGAGAAUACUUAGAACGGAAUCCGGUUAGAAUCCGGAGCAGAUCCUUUCCCUGCUGUAAGGACAACGAAAGAUGUAAAAAGUCACUGAAUGAAUCAGAUUUGGUAAGACACAUCGAGUAGGUUAAUUGGUCCUGAGCCAGAAGACGGAGCGUAAUAAAACAUUCCCG